rnacentral:rRNA from 1 species
GACGAACGCUGGCGGCGUGCUUAACACAUGCGAGUCGAACGAUGAAGCGGGUGCUUGCACUCGGGGAUUAGUGGCGAACGGGCGAGUAACACGUGAGUAACCUGUCCUUUUCUUUGGGAUAACGGCUGGAAACGGCUGCUAAUACUGGAUAUUCAGGCUGCAUCGCAUGGUGUGGUUUGGAAAGGUUUUUUCUGGGAUUGGGUGGGCUCGCGGCCUAUCAGCUUGUUGGUGGGGUGAUGGCUUACCAAGGCUUUGACGGGCAGCCGGCCUGGGAGGGUGGUCGGUCGCACUGGGACUGAGAUACGGCCCAGACUCCUACGGGAGGCAGCAGUGGGGAAUAUUGCACAAUGGACGAAAGUUUGAUGCAGCGACGCCGCGUGGAGGGUGUAGGCUUUCGGGUUGUGAACUCCUUUUUCUCGCGAAAAAGGCACAGUUUUGGCUGUGUUGAUGGUAGUGGGGGAAGAAGCGCCGGCUAACUACGUGC